AAAAAGACAAACCCUGAGUUUCCGUGUCUAACAUUUGAUUGUCCGUCUUAUAUGAAAUUUUUUAAUAAUUAGUAUUUUUUAUUGUUGUUAGAUAAUAAAACAUGAUUAAUACUUUAUGCGUAACUUGUCUUUUUAAUUUUUUUAUAAUCUUUUUAAAUAAGACGGAUGGUUAAACGUUGGACACAGAAAUCUAGAGUUUGUCUUUUU
rnacentral:pre_miRNA from 1 species